rnacentral:rRNA from 1 species
UGACCUCGAAUCAGGUGGGACUACCCGCUGAACUUAAGCAUAUCAAUAAGCGGAGGAAAAGAAACUAACAAGGAUUCCCCUAGUAACGGCGAGUGAAGCGGGAAGAGCUCAAAUUUAAAAUCUGGUAAUCUUUGGUUGCCCGAAUUGUAAUCUAGAGAAGCGUUUUCCGUGCUGGACUGUGUACAAGUUUCCUGGAUACGGAACAUCAUAGAGGGUGAGAAUCCCGUCCUUGACACAGACCCCCAGUACUUUGUGAUGCGCUCUCGACGAGUCGAGUUGUCUGGGAUUGCAGCUCAAAUUGGGAGUAGUGCUAGCU